rnacentral:rRNA from 1 species
CACCUCUUGACAUAAUAUAAGAGGCCCAGCCUGCCCGGUGACAAAGUUUAACGGCUACGGUACCCUGACCGUACGAAGGUAGCAUAAUCACUUGUUCCUUAAAUAGGGACCUGUAUCAACGGCAUCACGAGGGCUGCACUGUCUCCUCUCUUCAAUCAGUGAAACUGAUCCCCCCGUGAAGAAGCGGGGAUUAAGCCAUAAGACGAGAAGACCCUAUGGAGCUUUAAACAAGUACUCACACUAUACUUACACGUCCCUUAACUAAAAGCCCUGAGUACAAGUUUUAGGUUGGGGAGACCGCGGAGAACAAUUAAACCUCCACGACAAACGGCCCUUAAGUCCUUAUCCACGAGCCACAGCUCUAAGAAUCAAUAUACUGAUGAUUAUGACCCGAUACUAUUCGAUUAAUGAACCAAGUUACCCUGGGGAUAACAGCGCAAUCUACUUCAAGAGUCCAUAUCGACAAGUAGGUUUACGACCUCGAUGUUGGAUCAGGGUAUCCUUGUGGUGCAGCAGCUACUAACGGUUCGUUUGUUCAACGAUUAAAAC